rnacentral:rRNA from 1 species
AUUGAACGCUGGCGGCAUGCUUUACACAUGCAAGUCGAACGGCAGCACGGGAGCAAUCCUGGUGGCGAGUGGCGAACGGGUGAGUAAUACAUCGGAACGUGCCCAAUCGUGGGGGAUAACGCAGCGAAAGCUGUGCUAAUACCGCAUACGAUCUACGGAUGAAAGCAGGGGAUCGCAAGACCUUGCGCGAAUGGAGCGGCCGAUGGCAGAUUAGGUAGUUGGUGAGGUAAAGGCUCACCAAGCCGUCGAUCUGUAGCUGGUCUGAGAGGACGACCAGCCACACUGGGACUGAGACACGGCCCAGACUCCUACGGGAGGCAGCAGUGGGGAAUUUUGGACAAUGGGCGAAAGCCCGAUCCAGCCAUGCCGCGUGCAGGAUGAAGGCCUUCGGGUUGUAAACUGCUUUUGUACGGAACGAAACGGCCUUUUCUAAUAAAGAGGGCUAAUGACGGUACCGUAAGAAUAAGCACCGGCUAACUACGUGCCAGCAGCCGCGGCAAUACGUAGGGUGCAAGCGUUAAUCGGAAUUACUGGGCGUAAAGCGUGCGCAGGCGGUUAUGUAAGACAGUUGUGAAAUCCCCGGGCUCAACCUGGGAACUGCAUCUGUGACUGCAUAGCUAGAGUACGGUAGAGGGGGAUGGAAUUCCGCGUGUAGCAGUGAAAUGCGUAGAUAUGCGGAGGAACACCGAUGGCGAAGGCAAUCCCCUGGACCUGUACUGACGCUCAUGCACGAAAGCGUGGGGAGCAAACAGG